rnacentral:misc_RNA from 1 species
UCCGGCUUAUCACCGGCAGUCCCGUUAAAGUGCCCAGCUCAACCUGAUGGCAACUAACGGCAAGGGUUGCGCUCGUUGCGGGACUUAACCCAACAUCUCACGACACGAGCUGACGACAGCCAUGCAGCACCUGUGUGGACGCCAGCCAAACUGAAAGAAACCCUCUCGAGUCCCUAUACGCCCCAUGUCAAAAGCUGGUAAGGUUCUGCGCGUAGCUUCGAAUUAAACCACAUACUCCACCGCUUGUGCGGGUCCCCGUCAAUUCCUUUAAGUUUUAAUCUUGCGACCGUACUCCCCAGGCGGAAUGCUUAUCGUGUUAACUACGACACUGAAGAGUUCCCCCCCCAACAUCUAGCAUUCAUCGUUUACAGCGUGGACUAC